UACGAAGGGGGCUAGCGUUGCUCGGAAUUACUGGGCGUAAAGCGCACGUAGGCGGCUUUCUAAGUCGGGGGUGAAAUCCUGGAGCUCAACUCCAGAACUGCCUUCGAUACUGGAGAGCUCGAGUCCGGGAGAGGUGAGUGGAACUGCGAUUGUAGAGGUGAAAUUCGUAGAUAUUCGCAAGAACACCAGUGGCGAAGGCGGCUCACUGGCCCGGUACUGACGCUGAGGCGCGAAAGCUGGGGGAGCAAACGGG
rnacentral:rRNA from 1 species